rnacentral:rRNA from 1 species
AUACGGAGGGUGCAAGCGUUAUCGGGAUUCAUUGGGUUUAAAGGGUUCGCAGGCGGCGUAUUAAGUCAGUGGGGAAAUCCCGAGGCUCAACCUCGGAACUGCCAUUGAUACUGGUAUGCUAGAGUAUAGUUGGCGUUGGCGGAAUGUAUCAUGUAGCGGUGAAAUGCUUAGAUAUGAUACAGAACACCGAUCGCGAAGGCAGCUAACGAAACUAUAACUGACGCUCAGGAACGAAAGCGUGGGGAGCAAACAGGAUUAGAAACCCCAGUAGUCC